rnacentral:rRNA from 1 species
CUCCGUAGGUGAACCUGCGGAGGGAUCAUUACACAAAUAUGAAGGCGGGCUGGAACCUCUCGGGGUUACAGCCUUGCUGAAUUAUUCACCCUUGUCUUUUGCGUACUUCUUGUUUCCUUGGUGGGUUCGCCCACCACUAGGACAAACAUAAACCUUUUGUAAUUGCAAUCAGCGUCAGUAACAAAUUAAUAAUUACAACUUUCAACAACGGAUCUCUUGGUUCUGGCAUCGAUGAAGAACGCAGCGAAAUGCGAUAAGUAGUGUGAAUUGCAGAAUUCAGUGUAUCAUCGAAUCUUUGAACGCACAUUGCGCCCUUUGGUAUUCCAAAGGGCAUGCCUGUUCGAGCGUCAUUUGUACCCUCAAGCUUUGCUUGGUGUUGGGCGUCUUGUCUCUAGCUUUGCUGGAGACUCGCCUUAAAGUAAUUGGCAGCCGGCCUACUGGUUUCGGAGCGCAGCACAAGUCGCACUCUCUAUCAGCAAAGGUCUAGCAUCCAUUAAGCCUUUUUUUCAACUUUUGACCCCGGAUCAGGUAGGGAUACCCGCUGAACUUAAGCAUAUC